rnacentral:rRNA from 1 species
UACGGGGGGGGCAAGCGUUGUUCGGAAUUACUGGGCGUAAAGGGCUCGUAGGCGGCCAACUAAGUCAGACGUGAAAUCCCUCGGCUUAACCGGGGAACUGCGUCUGAUACUGGAUGGCUAGAGGUUGGGAGAGGGAUGCGGAAUUCCAGGUGUAGCGGUGAAAUGCGUAGAUAUCUGGAGGAACACCGGUGGCGAAGGCGGCAUCCUGGCCUGUUCUUGACGCUGAGGCGCGAAAGCUAGGGUAGCAAACGGG